rnacentral:rRNA from 1 species
UACGAAGGGGGCGAGCGUUGUUCGGAUUUACUGGGCGUAAAGGGCGCGUAGGCGGCCUUGUCAGUCAGGCGUGAAAGCCCCGGGCUCAACCUGGGAACGGCGCUUGGGACGGCGAGGCUGGAGUUCGGGAGAGGAGAGUGGAAUUCCCAGUGUAGAGGUGAAAUUCGUAGAUAUCGGGAGGAACACCAGUGGCGAAGGCGGCGAUCUGGGAAGAUACUGACGCUGAGGUGCGAAAGCGUGGGGAGCAAACAGG